UUAGCUGUAUAAUGCUCAGCAUAUGUAAACACCCUUAUGCAUGAUAGCUCUAAGGCUAAUAUUAACAUGCAUAUAACAACCUCAUUUUGUAUUGUUAAUAUAUUAAUGUCAUUAUUCUGUAUUGUGUCUAAAUGUAACUACAGUGUUAUUUUCUCAACAUAACAUUUUUAGUAAAGGAAUUACAAAAAUAAUUUCAUUGUAAAACAGUCCUCAACACCCAGACCUGUAAGUUACCUCCCCAUCACAACACCCAGACCUGUAAGUUACCUCCCCAUCACAACACCCUGACCUGUAAGUUACCUCCCCAUCACAACACCCUGACCUGUAAGUUACCUCCCCAUCACAACACCUCAACACCCAGACCUGUAAGUUACUUCCCCAUCACAACACCUUAACACCCAGACCUGUAAGUUACCUCCCCAUCACAACACCCAGACCUGUAAUUUACCUCCCCAGAUUUAACAAUGUAACAUACCGUAUCUAAACCACUUCCACUAAUAAUAAUAUACUGUACAGUAUGUGUGUUACAACAUCAAUUUUAACAGGGAAAAUAACUUCACAAUGAUGUAAAAAGGCAAACAUUUAUACAAAAAUCGUAAUAAACUUUUCUCGUGACAAAAUCCAUGUAAAAGUGUGUUAACGAAAAGUAUACUGUACAUUUAAUGGAAUAAACUUGCAACAGUG